rnacentral:rRNA from 1 species
CUUGACGAACCGUUGAUGUCAUUAAUUUGGUGUUGCGGGAAAUCAGGACUGUUACUUUGAAAAAAUUAGAGCGUUUAAAGCAGGCUCACGCUUGAAUACAUUAGCAUGGAAUAAUGAAAUAGGACGUUUGAUUCUAUUUUGUUGGUUUCUAGGAUCGACGUAAUGAUUAAUAGGGAUAGUUGGGGGCAUUAGUAUUCAAUUGUCAGAGGUGAAAUUCUUGGAUUUAUUGAAGACUAACUACUGCGAAAGCAUUUGCCAAGGAUGUUUUCAUUAAUCAAGAACGAAAGUUAGGGGAUCGAAGACGAUCAGAUACCGUCGUAGUCUUAACCAUAAACUAUGCCGACUAGGGAUCGGAUGAUGUUAAUUUUUUAAUGACUCAUUCGGCGCCUUACG